GAGAUAUUAGUAAAAAUUACAUAACUUUGUCAGG
rnacentral:tRNA from 1 species